rnacentral:misc_RNA from 1 species
UCUCCGUUGGUGAACCAGCGGAGGGAUCAUUACAGGACUCGCAAGACUCCUUCACCCUGUGAACCUCACUACAAGCACGUUGCUUCGGCGGGUGUCCCGGCGGGGGUUUUCCCUCGCCGGGGCGCACAGCCCGCCGGCAGUCUACUAUACUCUGUCUCUUUGCGUUGGCAUCUCGAGAAAAAACAAACAAGUUAAAACUUUCAACAACGGAUCUCUUGGUUCUG